rnacentral:rRNA from 1 species
GACGAACGCUGGCGGCGUGCUUAACACAUGCAAGUCGAGCGGUAAGGCCCUUCGGGUACACGAGCGGCGAACGGGUGAGUAACACGUGGGUGACCUGCCUCUAGCUCUGGGAUAAGCCUGGGAAACUGGGUCUAAUACCGGAUAUGACUCCACGGCGCAUGUUGUGGGGUGGAAAGCCUUGUGCGGCUAGAGAUGGGCCCGCGGCCGUAUCAGCUUGUUGGUGGGGUGAUGGCCUACCAAGGCGACGACGGGUAGCCGGCCUGAGAGGCGGACCGGCCACACUGGGACUGAGACACGGCCCAGACUCCUACGGGAGGCAGCAGU